GGAUGGAUGGCUGAGUGGUCGAAAGCGCCCGCCUGCUAAGUGGGUAACCUCCAAAAGGGGUUCUCGGGUUCGAAUCCCGAUCCGUCCGCCA
rnacentral:tRNA from 1 species